rnacentral:rRNA from 1 species
UACGAAGGGGGCUAGCGUUGUUCGGAUUUACUGGGCGUAAAGCGCACGUAGGCGGCUUUUUUAAGUCAGGGGUGAAAUCCUGGAGCUCAACUCCAGAACUGCCUUUGAUACUGGGAAGCUUGAGUCCGGGAGAGGUGAGUGGAACUGCGAGUGUAGAGGUGAAAUUCGUAGAUAUUCGCAAGAACACCCAGUGGCGAAGGGCGGCUCACUGGCCCGGUACUGACGCUGAGGUGCGAAAGCGUGGGGAGCAAACA